AUACAUCAGCCCGCAGAGGGGCAAAGAAAGGCACCACCACAGUCGUAUGAUGGAAGAGGCCAUGGGUUAACGUCCCCUGGAAGAGGCAGGCUGGGAUCGCACCUGGGUCUUCAUGAAGCAGGGAAGGAGGGACAAGGAUGGCUUUGUAAAAAGCAGCAGUCAGCUGAGGGUCCCGGUACGAUGGAGAGGUCAGGCAACCGCAGCUGCAGUGACAGAAAGCACAAAACCUCAAAUUCAGCCAGAAGUGCGGAAACCUAAAACAGGAAUCUUGAUGUUAAACAUGGGAGGUCCAGAACGUCUGGAUGAUGUGCAUGAUUUCUUACUUCGUCUUUUCCUGGACAGAGAUCUAAUGACGCUUCCAGCUCAAAAUAAAUUAGCACCAUUAAUUGCCAAACGCCGCACACCAAAAAUCCAGGAGCAGUACAGCAGGAUUGGAGGCGGAUCGCCAAUUAAGAAGUGGACGGCGGUGCAGGGAGAAGGCAUGGUGAAACUGCUGGACAGCAUGUCUCCUCACACCGCACCUCACAAAUACUACAUUGGCUUCCGGUAUGUCCAUCCUCUGACAGAAGAAGCAAUUGAAGAGAUGGAGAAAGAUGGCAUUGAAAGGGCUAUCGCUUUCACCCAGUACCCCCAGUACAGUUGUUCUACCACAGGAAGCAGUUUAAAUGCUAUUUAUCGCUACUACAAUAAAAAAGGGGAGAAGCCAAAGAUGAAGUGGAGUAUAAUUGACCGAUGGCCCACACAUCCCCUUCUUAUUCAGUGCUUCACCGAUCACAUACAGAAGGAAUUGAACCUGUUUCCACCCGACAAAAGGAAAGAUGUUGUCAUCCUCUUCUCGGCUCACUCGCUGCCCAUGUCUGUGGUGAACCGUGGUGAUCCAUAUCCUCAAGAAGUGGGAGCUACUGUCCAGAGAGUCAUGGAGAAGCUGAACUACUCCAACCCUUACAGGCUUGUGUGGCAGUCCAAGGUUGGACCAAUGCCUUGGCUUGGUCCACAGACAGAUGAGACCAUUAAAGGACUGUGCCAAAGAGGAAAGAAGAACAUGUUGUUGGUCCCAAUAGCAUUUACAAGUGACCACAUUGAAACACUUUAUGAACUGGAUAUUGAGUAUGCCCAAGUUUUAGCGAAUGAGUGUGGAGUUGAAAAUAUCAGAAGAGCAGAGUCUCUUAAUGGAAAUCCACUGUUCUCCAAGGCUCUGGCAGACUUGGUCUGUUCACAUAUCCAGUCGAAUGAAGUCUGCUCUAGGCAGUUAACUCUCUGCUGUCCGCUCUGUGUAAAUCCUGUCUGCAGGGAGACAAAAGCCUUCUUCACUAAUCAACAGCUGUGAUGGGUGUCUAGGAGAGCACCACUGGAUUAUGCAGGAAAAUUGCCCUGGUGAAGCAGAGCAAAGGAAAGAAACCGCUUGACCAAACUCUCCUCCGUUACAUACUUGCAGGCUGGUAGUCUCAGUGGUGUUAACCUCAUGUAACAGUGGGGAGAACUUGACUUUUUUUGUUUGUUUGUUUUAUUUUUUCUUACGUUUUCCUUGUUUGAGAAGAGUUUGUAGAAAGCAAGGAAAUAAGGGCGUUUAUCCUGUGAGAUGUGAAAAGAUCUCGUUUCAUCUGAUUCUGAUUGGACUUAGCAUGACCCCAUAAGUAUGCACUGAAAAACUUAAAAAACUUUUCUACAAAUUAGUUUCUAUUUCCUAUGCAGGGAUUUAUUUGUAUGCAGUUUUGUCAUGAGUGCAUUAAUUUCAGCUUUCCAAGUCAAGCAUACAAUUAUUUGUUUUGAUUAUGCUUAAGGUACAGUAUAACCACCAUAGUCAACAAUUGUCUCUUCUGAGAGUGAUUUUUUUCAGAUGGGUUUGAAGAUCAAGUGACUUCUAAUGCUUUUUAAAUAACGUGUAUAUUUUUUUUUUUAGAGCAUAAAGAUAAGGCUUUGUUUUGGUUUGUUUUUUUUCUCCUGCCAGAAACUUCUGGUGAAAGCUUAGCUGGGAUAGUAGAAUGCACAAGAUUUGUUUACAUUUUCUAGAAAAAACACUCUCGUUAUCUGCAGGAAAGCCUCAGCAUUUGAAGAACAUAAAAUGAAAGGAAUAAGCCUGCUUGGGUGAUGCUGAAGAACAUGCUCAAUUGAAACAGAUUGUAUGUUUCAAAUCCAGCAGCUGUCAGCAGCAUGUAUGGAAACAUGUUGGUGUAUCUUUUAAGCAAAAUGGCUUUUUAAAAUUACUAUUAAAAAGGGCUUUCCCUAUUUGGCUACAUAAAUUUAGGAAGUCAGGCUUGCUCUCCAGAAGGUUUAUAGAUCUGGUCUGUGCUAUCUACUGUGCCACAGUGCUGUGGUUUUUAUGGGAUACCUAUGGAGUUCCACGGGUACAAUUGAUCUAGCUUAAUUGAUGUUGUUAUUUAAAACUGAGAUGAUAAGUCAGGAAUAAUUUACACUGCAGAUGCCCGAGAGCAGGCAGCCCUGCGGGUUAACAGCUGGGUGCUUAUGCAUACUUUUUGACAAAAGCCGAAUUUUGUCUGUUAGAUUUCUGGCACUGAUGGUGGGCCAGGAGUAUGCGCUCAUAACCCAGCUAAACUUCUUGCUUGUCUUGGCAGGCGUUGGGGUGCAUCAGGACUGCUGAAUCCACUCCUAAGCAGCGGUGGUUUUGUAGAGUGAAAAACCUUUUUAGGGCAGUAUUCCCUCACUGUCAGCACUGCGACCGGUGUCCAGGUCCCUUCAAAAGAUGCCCAAGGCAGCUGUGCACAGGAACGCUUUCCAUAUUCCAUGUUUCUUCAGGAAAAUGCCCCACAUUUGGCACAGAGGCAGUGUGUUGUGCAAAUGCCCUGCUCCAGGCUAGUUCCCUCCCAGUGUGCCCAGCACAGGUGCCUCCUUACCUGCUAACUGGUGGAAGCUGAAAAGCUUGUCUGCAGAACAUUGAGGUCUGUCAGCAGAUUAUUGGAAACUGAGGGGGAUCUUGAUGCGAGCCUCCUUAGCAGUACGGAGAUCUUCUCUGAUGGAUGAAGUCGGCAUUAAUCCACCGCGUCUCGCCUGGGAGAUGCUUUGCUGACAGUGUGGUGCGAGCAUCGCCCCUGCCCAGGGACAAAUGGGCACCAACAGUGGGAACCAGGAGCAGACGGCAGGAAGGUGAUGCGAAUUGUACGCUCUGGAAAGACCUUCAGUGCUUAACAGAAAUCCAUGAUGCCACCUGACACGAGAGCAAUGCUGCAGUCAGCCCAGUUCAGCUCCAGGAUGUACCGUGUGCU